GGGUCACAGGUUUUGCAGCAUAUUUUGUGGCCCAGAGAAAGCAAACCUUACCAGAAUCAACGCAUUUACUGUUACCUAUGGAAGUGCAACAAAGAUCUCCCACAAAAACAGGUUGCUGUGCAUCUCCAUAUCCUGCACUGUUUUAGCAUCAUUUAAAGAGAGCAACUGUCUGCCUUUGUGUAACAUCCUGACUCCUUCUGCAUGUGAAGCCUGUGAGAUUCCUCUGUUUAUUCCCCCUGCUAUAUAGUCUAAGAGAGCUUCCAUUCCAACAAACACGGAAUAAUGGCUUCCUUUUGCUAUGACAUAUGUAGUUUCCAGUGCACCUGCUGUGUGAAGAAACCUCAAGAAACUCCUGUCAUUCCAAUGCAACAGCCUCAAACUGUGAUCAAUGUGCAGGCUAAUCCUGUCAUGACAGUUAAUCAAAGGUCUUCUUCAAAUGCUGUUGGUGUUCAAAAGCCUGCUCAAAACCCAAUUAUGUUUCCCUUCUAACCUUAAAGCCCUUCAUUGUUUCAUACCCCUCUCAAUAUCCUGGUGGUAAUCAAAAUCCUCCUUAAAGUCUUGUUGGUAUUCAAUGUAAUUUUCUCUGAUCAUUCAUGAUUAUGUUGGUGUACAAUGGGAUUCUUUACUUUAUCCAAAACGUCAAUUAACUGCCAAUACGUCCAAAAAACGUGUUGAAUUUGAGUAAUUUGAGUUGAUAUGGGAAUUUACUUUAUUAUAAACAUUGCAUGUGACUUAACCUUAUUGUUUGACUCUAAAUGAAGCCUAGGCGUAAAUUCAAUCUGGAAGACUCUUUUAGCCCCACCUGCAUCAUCCAGCCGGAACUUCCGGCUCAUCACCGUUGAUUGCUC